rnacentral:rRNA from 1 species
GACGAACGCUGGCGGCGUGCUUAACACAUGCAAGUCGAACGGAAAGGCCCUGCUUUUGUGGGGUGCUCGAGUGGCGAACGGGUGAGUAACACGUGAGUAACCUGCCCUUGACUUUGGGAUAACUUCAGGAAACUGGGGCUAAUACCGGAUAGGAGCUCCUGCUGCAUGGUGGGGGUUGGAAAGUUUCGGCGGUUGGGGAUGGACUCGCGGCUUAUCAGCUUGUUGGUGGGGUAGUGGCUUACCAAGGCUUUGACGGAUAGCCGGCCUGAGAGGGUGACCGGCCACAUUGGGACUGAGGUACGGCCCAGACGCCUACGGGAGGCAGCAGUGGGGAAUAUUGCACAAUGGGCGGAAGCCUGAUGCAGCAGCGCCGCGUGCGGGAUGACGGCCUUCGGGUUGUAAACCGCUUUCGCCUGUGACGAAGCGUGAGUGACGGUAAUGGGUAAAGAAGCACCGGCUAACUACGUG